GCCAGUGUGGCAUAGUGGUUAACGUGUUGGACUGAGACUCUGGAAACCGGGGUUCAGUUCCCUGCUCAGUCA